GCAAACCCCACUUCGGGGAAUGCUGCACCUCCGCCUCCACCACCUACAGAACCAGCAGCCCCAGUUACUCAACCUCCUAGACCUAGCUCAGUCGAUGGGAGCAAGGUAAAGAUGACAGAUUACCUCAAGCUAGAUGCUCCCAAAUACAAGUCAGGGGAUGACCCCUUUGAGUAUCUGAGAGUAGUGAAGACAAUAACUGAUGAGCUAGGGGCAAGUGACAGCAGGGCCAUUCAGAUG
rnacentral:lncRNA from 1 species